rnacentral:rRNA from 1 species
GCGCAGCAGGCGCGAAAACUUUGCAAUGCGGGAAACCGUGACAAGGGAACUCUGAGUGCCCGUUAAAUCGGGCUGUCCAUCGGUUUAAAUAACCGGUGAAGAAAGGGCCGGGCAAGACCGGUGCCAGCCGCCGCGGUAAUACCGGCGGCUCGAGUGGUGGCCACUAUUACUGGGCUUAAAGCGUUCGUAGCUGGUUUGUUAAGUCUCUGGGGAAAUCUUCCGGCUUAACCGGAAGGCGUCUCAGGGAUACUGGCAGACUAGGGACCGGGAGAGGUGAGAGGUACUCCAGGGGUAGGAGUGAAAUCCUGUAAUCCUUGGGGGACCACCUGUGGCGAAGGCGUCUCACCAGAACGGCUCCGACAGUGAGGGACGAAAGCUGGGGGAGCAAACCGGAUUAGAUACCCGGGUAGUCCCAGCUGUAAACGAUGUGCGUUAGGUGUAUCGGUGACCACGAGUCACCGAGGUGCCGAAGAGAAAUCGUGAAACGUACCGCCUGGGAAGUACGGUCGCAAGGCUGAAACUUAAAGGAGUUGGCGGGGGAGCAC